ensembl:vault_RNA Vault Vault RNA
GCACUGGUUUUGCUCCGCGGUGACUUCCCUCCUCAAAUCUACUUGGGAGCUUCCGCCGUCUCUAUCCCUCCCUGGGAUCCAACCGCGGGCGCUCUCCAGUGUCUUC